rnacentral:rRNA from 1 species
UGGGGAAUAUUGCACAAUGGGCGCAAGCCUGAUGCAGCCAUGCCGCGUGUAUGAAGAAGGCCUUCGGGUUGUAAAGUACUUUCAGCGGGUAGGAAGGGAGUAAAGUUAAUACCUUUACUCAUUGACGUUACCCGCAGAAGAAGCACCGGCUAACUCCGUGCCAGCAGCCGCGGUAAUACGGAUGGUUCAAGCGUUAAUCGGAAUUACUGGGCGUAAAGCGCACGCAGGCGGUCUGUUAAGUCAGAUGUGAAAUCCCCGGGCUCAACCUGGGAUCUGCAUCUGAUACUGGCAAGCUUGAGUCUCGUAGAGGGGGGUAGACUUCCAGGUGUGGCGGUGAAAUGCGUAGAGAUCUGGAGGAAUCCCGGUGACGAAGGCGGCCCCCUGAACGAAGACUGACGCUCAGGUGCGAAAGCGUGGGGAGCAAACAGG